rnacentral:rRNA from 1 species
GCUUUGGUGUUUCUAGUGUACUGAACGGAACCACGCUGAUCCAUCUCGAACUCAGCUGUGAAACGUUAUAAAUCGGCGACAAUACUUGGGGGGGGACCUCCUGGGAAGAUAGCUCAAUGCCAAAGUUUUAACUCAUUCUAAUCUA